rnacentral:tRNA from 1 species
AAAAAGAUAAGCUAAAAAAGCUAUUGGGCCCAUAACCCAAUCAUGAUAUUCUUCUCUUUUUA